UGCGUAGGUGGCAUGGCAAGUUUGAUGUGAAAGCUCAGGGCUUAACCCUGAAAUGGCAUUGAAUACUGCUGGGCUGGAGGUUUGGAGGGGGGACUGGAAUUCUUGGUGUAGCAGUGAAAUGCGUAGAUAUCAAGAGGAACACCAGUGGCGAAGGCGAGUCCCUGGACAACACCUGACACUGAGGCACAAAGGCCGGGGGAGCAAACA
rnacentral:rRNA from 1 species